GCCAAGCAUGGUGGUGCAUGCCUGUGAUCCUAGCAACUUGGGAGGCUGAGGCAGGAGGAUUUCAAGUUCAAGGCCAGCUUCAGCAACUUAGCACAGACCUGAGCAACUUAGGGAGACCCUGUCUCAA
rnacentral:sRNA from 1 species